rnacentral:lncRNA from 1 species
AGAGGUUUAAUGAUCUGCCCAGCAAGUGUCUGACGCUACACUUAAACUGCACUAUCUAGAUGACUAAAUUCUGGCUUGGAGAGAUGCCCAAACUGCCCAUGCCUCCAACAUGACUCGCUUCCUCAAGACAAUUCUAGGGCCACUCCUCUUCAGGUAUGGAAAGAGUUUUUUACUGGAAUCCAAAUAUCAACCUUGAAUUUCAAGAGUUAAAGAAGACACCUUGCUAGGUGACUUAUGGGCCAAUCAUUUCAGGUGAGGAUAAGGAAGAGAACUUGGG